UGCUACGCACAGGUUGGAACAUGUUUUUC
rnacentral:piRNA from 1 species